rnacentral:rRNA from 1 species
UGGGGAAUAUUGCACAAUGGGCGAAAGCCUGAUGCAGCAACGCCGCGUGAGUGAUGAAGGCCUUCGGGUUGUAAAGCUCUGUCUUUUGGGACGAUAAUGACGGUACCAAAGGAGGAAGCCACGGCUAACUACGUGCCAGCAGCCGCGGUAAUACGUAGGUGGCAAGCGUUGUCCGGAUUUACUGGGCGUAAAGGAUGCGUAGGCGGAUUUUUAAGUGAGAUGUGAAAUACCCGGGCUUAACUUGGGUGCUGCAUUUCAAACUGGGAAUCUAGAGUGCGGGAGAGGAGAAUGGAAUUCCUAGUGUAGCGGUGAAAUGCGUAGAGAUUAGGAAGAACACCAGUGGCGAAGGCGAUUCUCUGGACCGUAGCUGACGCUGAGGCAUGAAAGCGUGGGUAGCAAACAGGAUUAGAUACCCUGGUAGUCCACGCCGUAAACGAUGAGUACUAGGUGUAGGAGGUAUCGACCCCUUCUGUGCCGCAGUUAACACAAUAAGUACUCCGCCUGGGAAGUACGAUCGCAAGAUUAAAACUCAAA